UUCACAUUUUAGAUUAAAUAAACUAUUUCAUGAUAGACAAUUCGGUUUUACUAAGGGUAGAUGUAGUACGGAUGCGGGUGUGGAGCUCAUGAAGCAAAUAUUCGAUGCCUGGGAAAAUAAACAGGAUGCUUUAGCUGUCUUCUGUGACCUGUCCAAGGCUUUUGACUGUGUAGAGCAUAAAACAUUAUUGGGAAAAUUACAGUAUUAUGGCGUCUCAGCAAACUCAAUAAAAAUAAUAAAUUCAUACUUGAGUGACCGAUUACAAAAAGUGGUUAUAAAUAAAGCAGAGUCUUUAGGAGCUCCUAUUCUCAUGGGUGUGCCUCAGGGGUCGAUAUUGGGGCCGUUGCUCUUUCUUAUCUACAUAAAUGACCUGCCAUUUUAUAUAAAUAACUUAUGUGAAACGGUAUUAUUUGCAGAUGAUACAUCUCUUAUUUUUAAAAUCAGUAGGAACGCAAUAAAUUUUGACGAGGUAAAUGAUGCCCUUUCCCGAGUUAUGUGUUGGUUUACUUAUAAUAACUUGUUACUAAAUUCUAAUAAAACAAAAUGUAUUAGAUUUUCUUUGCCUAACGUAAAACAGGGAUCACUCUAGAUUCUCGUUUGCAAUGGAAGCCCCAUAUUACAAAUCUAUCGGCAAGACUUAGUUCGGCUGCUUUUGCGAUAAGAAAGAUUAGAUGGAUGUCUGAUGUCGAAACGGCGAGGCUUGUAUACUUCAGUUACUUCCAUAGUGUUAUGACAUAUGGUAUAUUGUUGUGGGGCUCAGCGGCCGAUAUUCAAGAUAUUU